rnacentral:misc_RNA from 1 species
GAUGAAGAACGUAGCGAAAUGCGAUACGUAAUGUGAAUUGCAGAAUUCAGUGAAUCAUCGAGUCUUUGAACGCACAUUGCGCCCCCUGGUAUUCCGGGGGGCAUGCCUGUCCGAGCGUCAUUGCUGCCCUCAAGCACGGCUUGUGUGUUGGGCCUCCGUCCUCCUCCCGGGGGAAGGGCCCGAAAGGCAGCGGCGGCACCGCGUCCGGUCCUCGAGCGUAUGGGGCUUCGUCACCCGCUCUUGUAGGCCCGGCCGGCGCUUGCCGACACAUCAAUCUUUUUUCCAGGUUGACCUCGGAUCAGGUAGGGAUACCCGCUGAACUUAAGCAUAUCAAUAAGCGGAGGA